AGAGAUGGAUUGGUGCCUUCGGGAACUCUGACACAGGUGCUGCAUGGCUGUCGUCAGCUCGUGUCGUGAGAUGUUGGGUUAAGUCCCGUAACGAGCGCAGCCCUUGUCCUUAGUUACCAGCACGUUAUGGUGGGCACUCUAAGGAGACUGCCGGUGACAAACCGGAGGAAGGUGGGGAGUGACGUCAAGUCAUCAUGGCCCUUACGGCCUGGGCUACACACGUGCUACAAUGGUCGGUGCAAAGGGUUGCCAAGCCGCGAGGUGGAGCUAAUCCCAUAAAACCGAUCGUAGUCCGGAUCGCAGUCUGCAACUCGACUGCGUGAAGUCGGAAUCGCUAGUAAUCGUGAAUCAGAAUGUCACGGUGAAUACGUUCCCGGGCCUU
rnacentral:rRNA from 1 species